GCUGGGGCUCAGUGGUAGAGCACUUGUCUAGCACGCAUGAAUUGAACUGGGCUCGAUUCUCAGCACCGCA
rnacentral:tRNA from 1 species